CUGGGUUUAAAGGGUGCGUAGGCGGCCCUGUAAGUCAGUGCUGAAAUACCCCGGCUUAACCGGGGGGGUGGCAUUGAUACUGCAGGGCUUGAGUACAGAUGAGGUAGGCGGAAUUGACGGUGUAGCGGUGAAAUGCAUAGAUAUCGUCAAGAACACCGAUAGCGAAGGCAGCUUACUGGGCUGUAACUGACGCUGAUGCACGAAAGUGUGGGGAUCAAACAGG
rnacentral:rRNA from 1 species